AACGAACGCUGGCGGCAGGCUUAACACAUGCAAGUCGAACGCACCUUCGGGUGAGUGGCGCACGGGUGAGUAACGCGUGGGAAUGUACCCUUUAGUACGGAAUAGCCUCGGGAAACUGGGAUUAAUACCGUAUACGCCCUUCGGGGGAAAGAUUUAUCGCUAAAGGAUCAGCCCGCGUGAGAUUAGAUUGUUGGUGGGGUAACGGCCUACCAAGUCGACGAUCUCUAGCUGGUCUGAGAGGAUGAUCAGCCACACUGGUACUGAGACACGGACCAGACUCCUACGGGAGGCAGCAGUGGGGAAUAUUGGUCAAUGGGGGCAACCCUGAACCAGCCAUGCCGCGUGGGUGAUGAAGGCCUUAGGGUUGUAAAGCUCUUUUAUGAGAGAAGAUGAAGACGGUACCUCAAGAAUAAGCCCCGGCUAACUUCGUGCCAGCCGCCGCUGUAA
rnacentral:rRNA from 1 species